CCUACGGGAUGCAGCAGUGGGGAAUUUUGGACAAUGGGGGAAACCCUGAUCCAGCCAUGCCGCGUGUAUGAAGAAGGCCUUAGGGUUGUAAAGUACUUUUGUUAGGGAAGAAAAGCUAGUUUUUAAUAAAAAUUAGUGAUGACGGUACCUAAAGAAUAAGCACCGGCUAACUACGUGCCAGCAGCCGCGGUAAUACGUAGGGUGCAAGCGUUAAUCGGAAUUAUUGGGCGUAAAGCGAGUGCAGACGGUUACUUAAGCCAGAUGUGAAAUCCCCAAGCUUAACUUGGGACGUGCAUUUGGAACUGGGUGACUAGAGUGUGUCAGAGGGAGGUAGAAUUCCACAUGUAGCGGUGGAAUGCGUAGAGAUGUGGAGGAAUACCGAUGGCGAAGGCAGCCUCCUGGGCUAACAUUGACGUUGAGCCUCGAAAGCGUGGGGAGCAAACAGGAUUAGAUACCCUCGUAAUC
rnacentral:rRNA from 1 species